UACGGAGGGUGCGAGCGUUGUCCGGAAUCAUUGGGCGUAAAGGGCGCGUAGGUGGCCACUUCAAGCGUGCGGUGAAAGUCGGGGGCUCAACCCCUGAUCGGCCGUGCGAACUGGGGGGCUGGAGCACUGUAGAGGCAGGCGGAAUUCCGGGUGUAGCGGUGAAAUGCGUAGAUAUCAGGAGGAACACCUGUGGUGUAGACGGCUUUCUGGACCAUAGCUGACGCUGAGACACGAAAGCGUGGGUAGCAAACAGG
rnacentral:rRNA from 1 species